rnacentral:rRNA from 1 species
GACGAACGCUGGCGGCGUGCCUAAUACAUGCAAGUAGGACGCAGUUGCGAACGGGUGAGUAACGCGUAGGUAACUACCUAUUAGAGGGGGAUAACUAUUGGAAACGAUAGCUAAUACCGCAUACUAGUAGAUGGACCUGCGUUGUAUUAGCUAGUAGGUAGGGUAAUGGCCUACCUAGGCAAGGAUACAUAGCCGACCGUGCAGGGUGGUCGGCCGAACUUGAACUGGGACACGGCCCAGACUCCCACGGGUGGCAGCAGUAGGGAAUCUUCGGCAAUUGGGGUAACCCUGACCGAGCAACGCCGCGUGAGUGAAGAAGGUUAUCGGAUCGUAAAGCUCUGUUGUUAAGGAAGCGGUACUUAACCAGAAAGGGACGGCUAACUACGUGCCAGCCGCCGCGGUAAUAC